rnacentral:tRNA from 1 species
GUGUAUAUAGCUCAGUGGUAGAGUGUAACGCUUAGCAUGCUUGAGGUCCUGGGUUCAAUCCCCAGUACCUCCA